ensembl:lncRNA
CUGAGUUUUCACCUCACCUUUCCAUCUCGUGUGUUUGUACUUGCUAAUCAAGGCACAGGGCAUAAUCCAAGAUCCCAGAUACACCUGUCCUGUCAUUUGUUCAUACUGAGAAUUCAAGGAACACUGGUAAGCAAAGUAGCAGCAAGAACUAUCCAAACAUGACAGCUGAUUUUGUCUAAGAAGUGUCUUCAGCCUCGGUUUGUGUGGAGCAAAGGCUCAUGAAUUAAAGAAUUCAUUUUGAAAAAGGCCUCAGUUUCUGCAUGCCUAUCUCAGAGCUUAUAAAGAGGUGGAGAAAUUACUAUGAAGGCCCCAGUGCAGAAUGCCUGAGAGACUUUGCUUGGAACAGGAGUUGCUGUAGCUGUUCUGCAGUGUGUCCUCCAAGAAUACAUCCAGAAAACUCUGAAGUUAUCCUCAAGCCCUUCCUUCCUGUGCAGGACGCUGGGGUGCAAGGUGAGAGAAG